rnacentral:rRNA from 1 species
CAGCAGCCGCGGGAAUACGAGGGGGGCAAGCGUUGUUCGGAAUUAUUGGGCGUAAAGGGUGCGUAGGCGGUUUGAUAAGUCUUGUGUGAAAUCUCUGGGCUCAACCCAGAGUCUGCACAGGAAACUGUCGGGCUUGAGUAUUGGAGAGGUGAGUGGAAUUUCCGGUGUAGCGGUGAAAUGCGUAGAUAUCGGAAGGAACACCUGUGGCGAAAGCGGCUCACUGGACAAUUACUGACGCUGAUGCACGAAAGCUAGGGGAGCAAACAGGAUUAGAUACCCCGGUAGUCCCUGUCUCUUAUAU